UAGUCAUAUGCUUGUCCUAAAGAUUAAGCCAUGCAUGUCCAAGUAUAAACCUUUAUACGGUGAAACUGCGAAUGGCUCAUUAUAUCAGUUAUAAUUUACAUGAUGAUGACUUGCUACAUGGAUAACCGUGGUAAUUCUAGAGCUAAUACAUGCAAAGGGCCCGCGAGGGUGGCAUUUAUUAGAUGGAACCAGCGAAAGAUGGUGAAUCAUGAUAACUGAGCGGAUCGCAUGGCCUCGAGCUGGCGACGCUUCAUUCAAAUUUCUGCCCUAUCAACUUUGGAUGGUAGGAUAGAGGCCUACCAUGGUGGUGACGGGUGACGGGGAAUUGGGGUUCGAUUCUGGAGAGGGAGCCUGAGAGAUGGCUACCACUUCCAAGGAAGGCAGCAGGCGCGCAAAUUACCCAAUCCCGACACGGGGAGGUAGUGACAGUAAAUAACGAUGCGGGGCCGUAUGGUCUUGCAAUUGGAAUGAGGGGAGGAUAAAGAGAAGGUCGAGUAACGAUU
rnacentral:rRNA from 1 species